CUUGGAGUAAGGACCUGGGUUUCCAAGGCCCCCGCCCCGAAACCCCCCGGCCGCAACCAACCCCCCCGCUUUAAGGCCCCCCCCCCCUGGUUGGAGCCCCCCCCCUGGAUGGGGGAUGGGACCUCAGGCCGAAGCCCGCCCUGCCCCGGAGGCCUGCCUGGCCCCCUUGAAAGCUUUGUGCCAACAGAGAGGUUCCCGUCCAGACCCAGGAGGGCGGAAGGAGAGACUGGGCCUGGGUGCCGAGGCCGGAAAGACACCUGCCUGCAGAGCCGGGCGAGGGCCACGGGUGUCGGAAGACUCUGUGCUCCCGCAGCACCGCCCAGACAGCCCGGCCUCGGCUCCUGACUCUCCACAACCGCGAUGGAUGUUUGCAGGAACCCAGCCAGCGUCUGCCUCCCCGCACUUGAUGUCCACUGCACCUGCUUGCACUUAACCUUCGGAGAAGACCCUUCAAGUGGAGGACACACUCAGGAGCCACGCCCAGCUCUGCCUGAGAAGCCCGGCUGGCCUCACUCAGCCUGAGGCUGGCCUCCUAUGCAGCCGCUUUCACGCCGAGACCCCGAGGGAAAAGCUGAGGAACGGCGUGGCAGCCGGGAGGAGGCCCUGACUUACCCAUUUCCAGUUGCUUGUCCCUUAUCGAGUUGGCAGAACCGAGACGUGUGCCAUGUCGCUCCUCUGGCCAGAAAUAUAUUUUUGAAAAUACGAGUGGUGUGGAUACUUGAUUUAGACAAACCUGUAAAAGCAAUACUUAGGAGGCUGACUUCUUUCAAUUAAAAAAGUAUGCAACUCCAACUCCCGGGGACCCUUUUUUUUUCCUUUGGGCUCAGGACUUCGGAAAGGGGUCCUUAUAUAGAAUCUCACUGACAAAGGGCAGAAGGGGCAGGGCCUCCCAGGGGAGAUCCAGCGUCUACCCCAGCUGGCCCCUCCCAGCCUGCAGCAGCCUGACACGCCUGGGGCAGCCCUUCAGUAGCACAGGAAAAGCCCGAGGGCCAAGCUGGAAGGAGCCCGAAUCCCAGGGGAGUGGAAGCGGACUUCCCUGUGCCCAGAACACCAUAAGCCGCCCUUCAGAUGAGGGGGUGAAUGACUAAACGGAUGAGUGAAAUUGGGCCAACUUGGCAGGUGCGUGGGAAACAGUGGAACCUCUGCCCAGCUUGCAGAGAACUUGGUGGCUCUCGAAGCCCUCUGACGUACACAGCAGGCUAAGCAGGGUGAUGCUCACAUUGGCAGAGAGGCCUGGGGAAGGGGAGGCUUUGGAAGGUGUGUAGGUUAACGCCCGCAGAAGGUGGCGCUGUGCCACCACCGUGCCGUGGCUCCCUGGACCCACAACCGUGCCCAUGGAAGUCUUCCAGUCACCUAUGGCGCUGACAUCCUGACUCCUCCCUUUAGAGGGGUGUGGCCUAGAAGUGUGACAUCUAGGACGCGUGGACAGUAAC
rnacentral:lncRNA from 1 species